rnacentral:lncRNA from 1 species
CCCCAACAGCUCCCAACAUGACUGCGUUGUUUAAGUAGCCGAUUGCUCUCUUGUAUGACUGUCAAAUAUUUCAGGCAAGUGAUAUCUAGUUCUUCUAUAAGUGGGUGCAUGCUGAAUUGUUAAGGUUUAUAAUUAUUAACUGAAUCAUUGCUUUGUUGUUCGAUAGGCAGUCUAGAUUUUGGAAUGGUUAUUUACAGAACGAAGGCAGGAGGGAAGCGGUUUAAAUACAGCGCAGGGUAAAUAAGUUGAAAAGUACCUAAUUUUUGUGGAUUUAAGUACAAUAAGCUUUCAACUAAACUCACUGCAUUUUAAUUCCUUCAGUCUAUGUAUGUUAUGGGCAGAAAAUAGCUUCUCUGUUGGAAUGGUGCGAUCCAAUUCUCAGUGCACAGAAAGACAUUUUUGGAACCUGCUUUCUAGAAAGUGACCUAUGUGGGCAAUCCCUGCUUCAGCACCCCCUUCAGCUCCAGUAAUUUGAUUGCCCAGAAUAUUCUCAUUAUAAUUCACUGGCACAUGGGAACUGCACAAAUAGCAGUGAGUCAGCGUGCUGGCUAUUGGGGAUCCACAAGCAGGAUACUCAGGUGCUCAGGAUAUUUUCUUUGGAAGGAUCCCUUCUAAAGAAUGUCUUGUCUUUGCAAGAGACAAUGAGGAAUGGGAAGUCACUCUGGGUGUGACUAUUUAUCCCUCUUCUUUCAUAUUCAUUGCUCAAUUCCUUCAAAAACCUAAGUCCUGGAGCAAAGAGGCAUUUAGGGAGUCAGCUAGAAGGACUCUCCAGAGGCUGAUAAAAUUUCUCCCAGUAGCCUCUGCUAUCUAUUCAUCAGAUCCCAAAGCUGUCAGAGAAAAUCUGGUAUUUUCUCCUGCUAACUGUUGCAUAGACUGGCAAUCAGGCUUACCACCAAGUUUUCCUUUAUUAUCAAAAUGAUAUUUCUCCUAGAUAACUUAGUGCUCUUUUCUCUGAUUUAGGACUCAACAAUACCAACCUCACCAACAUCAGUAGGGCUACCUCUAUCAUCAGUAUCAUCACCACCACCCUCAGUAACAUUCCCAACAAAAACUACCAUCGUGGCUCCUAACCUGCACCACUUCCACAGCCACUGCCAUCAUCGCUACUUCCUUUAAUUCAGCAGUUAUUUACUGAGCAGUUAUUUACUCAGUUAUGCACUGAAGAUAACCAAGCACUGUGCUAGUGAAACCAGCCCAAUUGCUCCGUAGAAAUAAUGUGUAUGGGUUUUUUGAAUAAAUAUAGAAAUUGACUCUCCUGAUCUUAAAAUUUGAAGCUUCUAUUUGCCCCAUCUGAAAUCUCUUCUCAGGAAACUGACCCUCAGGCAAUGGACUGAAACUCACCAGAUCACCACAUCCAGAUAAUGAGAGCUCACACCCCUCAUUCAUCAUGACUGCUUCCUUAUCACUCCCGAACUCCUUCCUGCUUGUAGCUACGUUCCUUCUCUGCUAUAUAAACCCCCAAUUUUAGUCAGGCAGGUUUGAGACUCAUCUCCUGUCUCCUUCGCUGCAGCACCCAGAUAAAGCCUUCUUACCUGGCACCUCUCAUUGUCUCAGGGCCUAGCUCUCCAAGCAGCAAGCAACAGGACCAAGACCAAACCCCUGGCAUUUUGGUUGCAAGAAAGCUCAAGUAGCCUAUGGAGAGGAUGCAAGGCUUCCAGCUGAUGCCCUCAGCCAGGCUCAGUAGCAGCCAGAACUAGCCUACCAACGAACCUGCUGAUCAUGUGCAUAAGCCACCUUGAACGUCGAUCCUCCUGCCUGGUGGAGCCAUCCCAGCUGAUGCCACAUGAAGCAGACACAAGCUGUCCCUACUAAGCUCUGCUCAAGUUGGAUAUUCAUGAGUGAAAUAAAUGACUGUUACUAAGUAAUUAAUUUUUGGGUGGCUGUUAUGUAGCAGUAGAUAAUUGGAACAAAGCUUAUUGACAUAAUACAUCUAUAUCACAUCCUCCAAUCCAUUUUUUUAAGUAAUAAAGUUGAUGUUUGUUUUGAUUUUCAGUUACAGCUUUACAUAUUUUGUCUUAAUUAGUCAAUUUUUUCCAAACUCAAAAUGGGUUUUUGUAAGAGUAGUAGUAGGGUCCUAGAAUAAUGGCAAUUCUCUUUCACUGGAGAAAGUUUUGUAGAGAAGACAAAAGAAUUUUUACAAGUACUCCACUGGUGAAAACUCAUAAACCUUGAAGGUAUUUUUAAAUUCAUCAUGCAUUUAUCAAUUUAUAAAUGAAUUCAUCAUUCAUUGGUCCAUUCAUCCAUCCCUCCAUCCAUUUCUAGAUCCUCUCAUAAGAGGAAAUCUAGGAAUAAGCCUGAUCAGUGAAAGUUUCAUGGGAAAGAGGAAGGAGGAAGAAAUUAUUUUAUUUUUAGAGUUUUGGGAGUUAGUGGUUAUGGACUUGCACUGGAGAAGAUGGGUGAGAAAGUUCAAGGUUUCUAAAAUGGGAAAGUAGGCCUGGAGAAAAUGUUGCAACCAAGAUUAUAAGGCCAAUUACCAGGUCUGAUUACCAGAAAAUAAUUUUUAAGGCAGGAAUAUUAGGCCAUAUCAGUACCUGAAAGAGUGAUCGAGGCUAAUUUGUUCAUUCAUGUAACAACAAUUUAUUAUGUGCUACUAAGUACCAUCACUAUAUUAUAAACUGAGGGUUCAGUAGUGGAUAAGAGAAACUAAUUCCCUGGCCUAAUGAAGAUUUCAUUCAACGGGGAAAACAAGAAACAUAUAUGUAAAUUAGCAAAAGUUAAUAAUAUCAUUCAAAGAGUGCUAAGAGCUCUGAAAAUAGUAAAGCAGGGUGACUGAUAAAACAGGACUAAGCAGGUAACAGUAAGAGGUGAUCAGGGAAAAAACCUCUGAAGAAAACAUAUUUGAUCUGGAAUCCAAAUGGCAAGUAGAAUGAAGAAGGUAAAUAAUUCAUACAAGAGCAUAUCUCUUCCAUAGCAAGUGCAAAGACCCUGGGCAAAUGCCAUAGUUGAGCUAGCACCCACCACUGGCUUCAAGUGAUGGGUGAGUGAUACAGACUCAAGGAAAGGGCCAAAAGGGCAGACAAAACCAGUUCAAUUUGUCACUUAUUCAUCCACCCAUUGAUCCAUCUACUGAUCCAUUUAUCCAUCCAUCCAUCCAUCCAUCCAUCCAUCCAUCCAUCCAUCUAUUCAACAUACAUGUUGGGUGCCCUUUACAUACCAGGACCUGUACUGGGCAUGGGAACUGCAGAGAUGAAAAGAUGAACAAUCUCUGUACUUGAGGGACUCAUCUCACUCUGUGAGAUGAACUGGCAUGUGACUGAAAACUCACUAUAUUGGUAACGAGACUAAAACACAGAGCUUAAUGAUUUAACCUGAUACCACCCAAGUGGUUAGCGGUUAGUGGCAGGGCUUCAGAAUUUUAUUUUCCUUCCCUACAGGGAAAACCAUUAUGUGUGACCUACUUUUUCAAACUCUCUUCCUCAGUGGGGCAACAAUUAGAGUUUAUCUAUUGCUAGUGCUUACCAUUUUAGGCUCCUUUAAUUAGAGUGUUUUAAAUUAGUGUUAUUUUAAUUUUGCUUAUCUCCUGAGACAUUAUAGAGGAUAAAUAGCAAAUGAAAUAAUGUACAUGAAAACACAUUGUAACCCAUAAACCAUCAUACAGAUGUGUGUUAUAUACAGUUUUAUAUUUGAGGAUAUAGCUUUAUGCAUUAGUACUGCUUCCUCCUCAGGGAUGUCUCCAAAAGAAUUCAGAGUAAAACAGACUUGUGGAUUGAUGCUUUAAAGACAUUUUGUAUUUUCUUUAAAAAUAAAAUUGACUCACAGUAGGUGCUUAAUAAAUAUUUGUUCAAAGAAUGCAUAAGAUGCAAUAUUCAGAGACAUAGAUUCAGUGUAGUAGGCAUCAGUGUGGCUACUUGGCUACUUACUGUGCAAAAGAUGUCAAUUUGUGAGUGCAAAUUCAUCUUAAGGAAAUUCUCUGAUUUAAUUUAAGCAUUGGUAGAGAGAUUUACUAUUAUCCUCCUUGGAAAUGAAAAGCAUAUAGCUCAGGGAAGGAAGAUCACAUUUUUAGGAGAACUAUCUGGGGGCAGAUUACCCAAAGUGUUAAUUAUUAUAAUUACUAUUGUUAAGUUGGUUUUAAAGUCCUAUAUGAUGUAAUAUCAUGUUCUCUUUUUGUUUCUCCAGCUGAGCUGAUGAUCUUUUAAAUAAAAAACUACAACCACCUGUCUU